rnacentral:rRNA from 1 species
CUCCUACGGGAGGCAGCAGUAGGGAAUCUUCGGCAAUGGGGGCAACCCUGACCGAGCAACGCCGCGUGAGUGAAGAAGGUUUUCGGAUCGUAAAGCUCUGUUGUUAGAGAAGAAUGAUGGUGGGAGUGGAAAAUCCACCAAGUGACGGUAACUAACCAGAAAGGGACGGCUAACUACGUGCCAGCAGCCGCGGUAAUACGUAGGUCCCGAGCGUUGUCCGGAUUUAUUGGGCGUAAAGCGAGCGCAGGCGGUUUUUUAAGUCUGAAGUUAAAGGCAUUGGCUCAACCAAUGUACGCUUUGGAAACUGGAGAACUUGAGUGCAGAAGGGGAGAGUGGAAUUCCAUGUGUAGCGGUGAAAUGCGUAGAUAUAUGGAGGAACACCGGUGGCGAAAGCGGCUCUCUGGUCUGUAACUGACGCUGAGGCUCGAAAGCGUGGGGAGCAAACAGGAUUAGAUACCCUGGUAGUCCACGCCGUAAACGCUGCGAGCUCGGGAUUGUGCCCUUUCCGGUGCUUACUGCCGGAGCUAACGCUCUAAGCACUCCGCCUGGGUUGUACGACCGCAAGGUUUACACUCAUCGGAAUUCACGGGGGCCCGCACAAGCGGUGGAGCAUGUGGUUUAUUUCGAACCAACGCGAAGAACCUUACCAGGUAUUGACUUCUCCCUGACCGGUCCAGUGAUGGGCUUUCGCUUCGGG